AUUGAACGCUGGCGGCGUGCCUUACACAUGCAAGUCGAACGGCAGCACGGGUGCUUGCCCCUGGUGGCGAGUGGCGAACGGGUGAGUAAUACAUCGGAACAUGUCCUGUAGUGGGGGAUAGCCCGGCGAAAGCCGGAUUAAUACCGCAUACGAUCUACGGAUGAAAGCGGGGGCCCUUCGGGCCUCGCGCUUUAGGGUUGGCCGAUGGCUGAUUAGCUAGUUGGUGGGGUAAAGGCCUACCAAGGCGACGAUCAGUAGCUGGUCUGAGAGGACGACCAGCCACACUGGGACUGAGACACGGCCCAGACUCCUACGGGAGGCAGCAGUGGGGAAUUUUGGACAAUGGGCGAAAGCCUGAUCCAGCAAUGCCGCGUGUGUGAAGAAGGCCUUCGGGUUGUAAAGCACUUUUGUCCGGAAAGAAAUCCUUGGCCCUAAUACGGUCGGGGGAUGACGGUACCGGAAGAAUAAGCACCGGCUAACUACGUG
rnacentral:rRNA from 1 species